rnacentral:rRNA from 1 species
AGUGAACGCUGGCGGUAGGCCUAACACAUGCAAGUCGAACGGCAGCACAGUAAGAGCUUGCUCUUACGGGUGGCGAGUGGCGGACGGGUGAGGAAUACAUCGGAAUCUACUUUUUCGUGGGGGAUAACGUAGGGAAACUUACGCUAAUACCGCAUACGACCUACGGGUGAAAGCAGGGGAUCUUCGGACCUUGCGCGAUUGAAUGAGCCGAUGUCGGAUUAGCUAGUUGGCGGGGUAAAGGCCCACCAAGGCGACGAUCCGUAGCUGGUCUGAGAGGAUGAUCAGCAACACGGGAACUGAGACACGGUCCAGACGCCUACGAGAGGCAGCAGUGGGGAAUAGUGGACAAUGGGCGCAAGCCUGAUCCAGCCAUCCCGCGUGGGUGAAGAAGGCCUUCGGGUUGUAAAGCCCUUUUGUUGGGAAAGAAAAGCAGCAGGUUAAUACCCCGCUGUUCUGACGGUACCCAAAGAAGAAGCACCGGCUAACUUCGUG